rnacentral:misc_RNA from 1 species
ACACCUCAACUCUCAUGGUUCGCCAUGAUGAGCUUGGACUUUGGGGGUCUUGCUGGCGUAACUGCCAGCUCCUCUCAAAUGGAUCAGCUUCCCAGUGUUUGGUGGCGUCACAGGUGUGAUAACUAUCUACGCUUGUGGUCCUUCCAUCAGGUUACCUUCAGUAAUGGAGGUUCACUGGAGCUCACAGACGUCUCUCCUCAGGGAGGACAAGCUUCUUAAC